rnacentral:rRNA from 1 species
GACGAACGCUGGCGGCGUGCCUAAUACAUGCAAGUCGAGCGAAUGACAGAGGAGCUUGCUCCUCUCGAUUUAGCGGCGGACGGGUGAGUAACACGUGGGUAACCUGCCUUAUAGCUUGGGAUAACUCCGGGAAACCGGGGCUAAUACCGAAUAAUACUUUUGGACACAUGUUCGAAAGUUGAAAGAUGGUUCUGCUAUCACUAUAAGAUGGACCCGCGCUGCAUUAGCUAGUUGGUGAGGUAACGGCUCACCAAGGCCACGAUGCAUAGCCGACCUGAGAGGGUGAUCGGCCACACUGGGACUGAGACACGGCCAAGACUCCUACGGGAGGCAGCAGUAGGGAAUCUUCCACAAUGGACGAAAGUCUGAUGGAGCAACGCCGCGUGAGUGAAGAAGGAUUUCGGUUCGUAAAACUCUGUUGUAAGGGAAGAACAAGUACAGUAGUAACUGGCUGUACCUUGACGGUACCUUAUUAGAAAGCCACGGCUAACUACGUGCCAGCAGCCGCCGUAACAC